GUUCCGGGCGCUUUGCCGGGCGUUAAUGGCGGCCAACAUCGCCGGUGCUGCGGCUUUCUCCCUAAAGUGUCACAGGAGCUAAGGGCGCUGCUUAACGAACUGCAGAAGACGCAGGCAGGUGAAGGACACCGGUUCUGCUGCGGCAGUGGAAUGUGGCGGAGAAGCUGGCGGGUAGGGCGGGGAGCAAGCCUGGAGGUCCUGGCGGACCCCACCAUUCGACAGGGCUUGGUGUGUUAUUGCUUCUAGGCCUUUUCAGCGGACAGAACUGGGAUGGAUACACACAUGCUUAUUUGAAAUCAUGCGUUUGUUCCAUACUCCAAUGUCAGCCCACCCCUUCUUUGCCCAAGUUGCUCUAUGGUCAAGUGAGCGAGAGCAGGUGCCUGCAUUUCCAGCCUCGUGGCUCACCGCCUCCUUCCAGUAGUCCCAUGUUGCUUCACACCUCUUAAGUACAUGUACUUCUGUGAACCCAGAGCCUUGGCUUUGAAAUCAGACAACCCCAGUUUCAAACGUGGCGCUGCCACUCACGAGUUUUGUGAUUUUGGCAUACCCCUGUCUGCAUGGGGAUAAUAACUUCUAUCUCCAUAGGUGUGGUGAGGAUAAAAGUCUAUGCAUGGAGGAAAUGUUCAUUCAGUGGUAGCUAUUUCUAAUUCUGUUCUUCUGGACCUAUGAUUCUAUCUACGAUGCCUCAUUUUUUUUCCUUUUUAAUCAAUUGGCAAACUUGUGCUCUGAGACCCAGCUUGUUACAUCUCUGAUGACAGCUGAUAUCCUCAGGAUAUUCCGUACUUCCUUUCUCCCUAUUACUUUACUAUGAAUAUAUGAAUAACAUUGUGCUUAUUGCAUGCAACAAAUAUUUAUUAGAUGAAUGACAUUAAAAUUCACCUUUAAAAUGCCAUCCUUUAUGAGAGGUGAGAAAUAGAACUUUUCCUUCGACAUGGCUGUACAUGUUCAACAACUAGAAUAAAACAGUCAUCAUGAACCCUCAAUCCAGUAUUCUUUUUAUAAUAUAGCUGCCUGUCAGUUUUCACUGUUCUUUUAUUAGACCAGUGAUUUUCAAACCUUUUUAAAGGCAUACAGUGCUUUAUUCAAAUCUAAUCUUAUAUGGAACCCUCAACACAUAAAUAUUAAGAUAAAAAUAAAGCUGCCAUUGUUGCAAUUAGAAGUUUGAGAGGUUAGAAUAGGUAGGAAGUCUCGGAGGAACAUUUCUUCGUUUUACCUGCUUUAACAGUCAGAGAAGUACCUCAGCCAGCAGAAAAAUUUAUUUGUUCAUAAAUUCCUUGAGUAUAGAGUCCGUAUCUUAUUUUUGUGGCCUCCAAUGCUAGUGCUGUGCAGUUUUCUUGAAAGUGCAUUUUAUUGGUCUCAGCAAAUUGAACUCAAGCAUUUCUGUGUUCUUUUACUUUUCCUCUUUGUGGAAUUAAGGGGAUUGCUAAUUUGUAUUUUUAAAGAAAGAACAUUAUUCCGGGCGCGGUGGCUCACGCCUGUAAUCCCAGCACUUGGGGAGGCCAAGGAGGGCAAAUCACCUGAGAUCAGGAGUUCAAGACAAGGCUGACCAACAUGGCAAAACCCCGUCUCUACUAAAAAUACAAAAAUUAGCUGGGCGUGUUGGCACGCGCCUGUAAUCCCAGCCACUCAGGAAGCUGAGGCAGGAGAAUCGCUUGAACCCGGGAAGCAGAGGUUGCAGUGACAGAGAUCGUGCCACUGCACUCCAGCCUGGUGAGAGCAAGACUCUGUCUCAAAAAAAAAAAAAAAAAAUUGGCAAGUUUGGCCCUAAAAUUUAUAUGAAAUGAAAAGGAACCAGAAUAAAAGGAUUUCGAAACAGAAAAAGAUGGAGAACUUCCACUACCUGAAUUCAAAACUUAUUAUAAAGCUACAGUAAUGAAGACUGUAAUACUGGCAUAGAGGCAGAUAUAUCGAUCAAUGGAAUCAAAUAGUCCACAAAUAAACCUUUACAUUAUGGUCAGUUGAUUUUCAACAAUGGUGCUAAAACAAUCCAUGGGGAAAGGGUAAUCUUUUCAAUGAAUGAUGUGGGAGGGAAAAAAAAGAACUUUGAUUCUUACCUCACAUCACACAUAAAAAUUGAUUUAAGUGGAUCAUAGACCUAAAUAUAAAAGCUAAAACUAUAAAUUUCAGAAGAAAAAGAGGAAAAUCUUUUGAUAUUAAGUUAAGCAAAGUUUGCUUAGAUAUGACGCUAAAAUCGUGAUCUAUAAAAGAAAAAAUUGAUAGUUGACAUAAUAGAAAUUUAAAGCUUUUAGUUCAUGUAUUGAAACAAAAAAUCUAGACUGGGACAAUGGCUCACAUCUGUAAUCCCAGCACUUUGGGAGACCAAGGUGGGUGGAUCGCUUGAGCUCAGGAGUUCAAGACCAGCCUAGGCCAGAUGGUGAAACCCCAUCUCUACAAAAAAUACAAAAAUUAGCUGUGCAUAUAGUCCCAGCUACUUGGGAGGCAGAGGUGGGAAGAUGGUUUGAGCCCAGGAGGCAGAAUUUGCAGUGAGCUGAGAUUGCGCUACUACGCUACAGCCUGGGUGACAGCCAGACCCUAUCUAAAAAAAAAAAAAAAAAAAAAAGAAGAAGAAAACAAAAACAAAAAAUCUUGGUCUGUCUUAGGCAACAAGCAAUUAAAAAAAAAGUAGAAAAUAAAGCAAAAGGGCCGGGCGCAGUGGCUCACGCCUGUAAUUCCAGCACUUUGGGAGACUGAGGCGAGUGGAUCACCUGAGGUCAGGAGUUUGAGACCAGCCUCGCCAACAUGGUGAAACCCCAUCUCUACUAAAUACAAAAAUUAGCUGGGCGUGGUGGCGGGCACCUGCAAUCCCAGCUACUUGGGAGGCUGAGGCAGGAGAAUUGCUUAAAUCCAGGAGGCAAAGGUUGCAGUGAGCCAAAAUCAUGCCACUGCACUCCAGCCUGGGCAACAGAGCAUAACUCCAUCUCAAAAAAAAAAAAAAAAAAGAAAAAGAAAAAGAAAAGCCAUGAACUAGAAGAAAAUAUUUGAAUAGAUAUUUUACCAAAGAAGAUUUAUGAAUGGCAAAUAAGUACAUAAAAAGAUAUUCAUCAUCAUUAAUCAUUAGAGAAAUGCACAUUGAAAGCAUAAUAAGAUAACACUUAAUACCCACUAGAAUGGCUAUAAUCAGAAAAAUAGAAAACAAGUUUUGGCGGGGCUAGGUGGCUCACACCUGUAAUCCCAACACUUUGGGAAGCCAAGGCGAGUGGCUCACUUCAGGUCAGGAGUUUGAGACCAGCCUGACCCAACAUGGUGAAACCCCGUCUCUACUAAAAAAUACAAAAAUUAGCCGGGCGUGGUGGCAGGUGCCUGUAAUCCCUGCUACUUGGGAGGCUCAGGCAGGAGAAUCGCUUAAACCUGGGAGGCAGAGAUUGCAGUGAGCGGAGAUCGUGCCACUGCACUCCAGCCUGGGUGACAGCGAGACUCCGUCUCAAAAACAAACAAAACAAAAUAAAACAAAAAAAAAUGGAAAACAAGUUUGGCAAGAAUGUGGAGAAACAAACACUCCUACAUUCCUGGUGAGAAUGUAAAAUGGUACAGGCACUUUGGAAAGCAGUUUGACAGUUUUUUAAAAAAUUAAGCAUAAAUUGCCAUAUAACCCAGCAAUUUCACGCCUAGGUAUAUACCUAAAAGAAAUGAAAACAUAUGUCCAUGGACUCAUACCUACAUGUCCAUUGCAGAAUUACUCAUAAUAGGCAAAAAGUGGAAACUAUUCAAAUGUCUUAUCAGUUUGUGAAUGAGUAAACAAUAUGUAGUACAGCCAUACAAUAGAAUAUUUGGUGAUAAAAAUAAACCAAUACAUGCUGUAACAUGGAUGAAAGUAAAAAAACACUAUAGCAGAUAAAAAGACUGUGAUUUCAUAGGAAAAUCACAAAUAUAGAAAAAGCAAGAUUAUAGAUACAGAAAGCAGGUUAGUGAUUGCUGGGGCUGAAACUGGAAGCCAGGUUUGGCUGCAGAUGGGCAUGGGACAACUUUACGGAUUGAUGGAAUACUAAAACUAGAUUUUGGUAAUGGUUACACAACCAUAAAAAUUUACUAAAAAUAAACUGCACACUUGUAAUAGGUAAAUUUUGAGAUGUGUAAAUUUCAUGUUGUAACUCCAAUAAGGCUUUAAAAAAUUUAAGUUACCUGCCCAAAUGUACCUAUCAUGUAGCAGAAGCAGGAUUAGACACAGGUGUGCCUGUCCUCAAAGCCUGAGCUCUGUUUACCCAGAGUUUUGGAAACUCCAGAUCUAUCAUGAAAACCUAAGUCAUUCUUAACCCGAGUCAUCCUACUCAGGAAUGACUUUUUUAUUAUAAUUUUAUUGUUUUUUAUUUUAUUGUAUUUAAAAGAAAUAGAGAUUGUGGCUGGGCACGGUGGCUCAUGCCUGCAAUGCCAGCACUUGGGGAGGCCAAGGCAGGUGGAUCAGUGGAGGCCAGAAAUUCAAUACCAGUCUAGCCAACAUGGUGAAACCCCAUCUCUAUUAAAAAUACAAAAAUUAGCUGAUUGGCCUGGGAGGCAGAGGUUGUAGUGAGCUGAAAUCACCCCACAGCACUCCAGCCUGGGUGACAGAGUGAGACCCUGUCUCAAAAAAAAAAAAAAAAAAAGGAAAGAAAAAGAAAGAGGGAGAGCAAGAAAGAAAGAGAGAGAGAGAAAGAAAGAAAAGAAAAAAAAAGGAAAGAGGGAGGGGGAGAGAGAGAGAAAGAGAGAGGGAGAGAGAGAGAGAGAUUGGGUCUCGCUAUGUUAACCAGGUUGGUCCCCAACUCCUGGCCUCAAGUGAUCCUCAUCUCAUUGGGAUCCUCCCUCCCAAUCCCAACGUGUUAGGAUUACAGGUGUAAGCCACUGCACCUGGCCUAGGAAGGACUUUUUGGGAGGGAUUCUAUCAUCUCACUUGGAUCUGGGAAUACAGGUAUGAGCCACCAUGCCCAGCCUGAGAACAAUACAAUUAUUCUUUUCUAGCUAUUUUGAAAUAUAUGAUAAAAUAUUGUCAACUAUAAUUUCCCUAUUGUAUUUUCAAAUACUAGAACUUCUAUCUAACUGUAUUUUUUUGACAAUUAACUAAUUUCUCUUUGUCUUCGCCCUCCCCAGUUUCCCUUCCCAGACUCUGAUAACGACCAUUCUAUUCUCUAUCUCCAUGGUAUCUACUAUUUUACCUCCCAUAUGUAAGUGAGAAUAUGUAAUAUUUGUCUUUCUGUCCCUGGAUCAUUUCACUUAGCAUAAUGUCCUCCAGCUCCAUCUAUGUUGUUGCACAUGACAGGAUCUCAUUCUUCUUUAUGGCUGAAUAGUACUCGAUUGUGUAUGUGUACUGCAUUUUCUUUAUCCAUUCAUCCAUUGAUGGACACUUAGGUUGAUUCCCUAUCUUGGCUAUUGUGAAUAGUGCCGCAGUAAACAUGAGAGUGCAGAUAUCUCUCCAAUAUACUGAUUCCUUUCUAGGGAUGUAUACCUCGCAGUGGGGAUUGCUGGAUCAUAUGGUAGUUCUACUGAUAAACACACUUAAAACAAUUUCAAUACCUGCCAGGUGCGAUGGCUCAUGCCUGUAAUCCCAGCACUUUGGGAGGCCAAGGCAGGUGGGUCACCUGAGGUCAGGAGUACGAGACCAGCCUGGUCAACAUGGUGAAACUCUAUCUCUGCUAAAAAUACAAAAAUUAGCUUGGUGUGGUGGCACGUGCCUGUAAUCCUAGCUACUCCAGAGGCUGAGGCAGGAGAAUCGCUUGAACCAGGAGACAGAUGUUGUAGUGAGCUGAGAUGGUGCCACUGCACUCCAGUCUGGGUGACAGAGUGAGACUCUGUCUCCAAAAAAAAAAGAGAUAAUAAAACAAUUACAAUGCCUUUAUUAUAACUAACAAAAUUUACAGUAAUUUCUUAUUGGCUAAUAGCCCAUAUCCAGUUUUUCCUAAUUGUCUCAAAAAUGUUCUAAACAAUGUCCAAAAAUUACAUUUGUUUGAUAUGUCUAUUUUAUUUUAUCUUAUUUUAUUUUAUUUUUGAGAUAGAGUCUUGCUCUGUCACCCAGGCUGGAGUGCAGUGGCGCUAUCUCGGCUCACUACAAUCUCCACCUCGCAGGUUCAAGCAAUUCUGCUGCGUCAGCCUCCUCAAUAGCUGAGAGUACAGGCGCAUGCCACCACACUCAGCUAAUUUCUGUAGUUUUAGUAGAAAUGGGUUUUCACCACAUUGGCCAGGCUCUUGACCUCAGGUGAUCCACCCGCCUUGGCCUCCCAAAGUGCUGGGAUUAUAGGCAUGAGCCACUGCUCCCAGCCGAUAUGUCUAUUUUAGUUUACAAAAUGGUGCGGCCACUUUGGAAAGCAGUCUUGCAGUUCCCCAAAAGGUUUAAUAUAGAGUUACCAUAUGACUCAGUAAUUUUACUCCUAGGUAUACACCCAAGAUAAAUGAAAAAAGUUUUUUUUAAAUCAUAUUCUAAACAAGAUUCACAAAUUGCAUUUGCUUGAUAUUUGUAUUUUAGUUUAUAACACUUUCUUCUCUCUCUCUCUGUCUCUUCCUGAGACAGGGUCUCUCUCUGUUGCUUAGGCAGGAGUGCAGUGGCAUGAUCAUAACUCACUGUAACGUUGAACUAGACUCAAGCAAUCCUCCCGCCUCAGCCUCCUGAAUACUAGGACUACCGGCAUGUACCACCAUACCCAGCUAAUCUUUAAAAAUUAUUUUGGAGAGAUGGUGUCUUGCUGUGUUGCCCAGGCUGGUCUUAACUCCUGGCCUCAAGUGAUCUCCCCACUCAGCCUCCCAAAAUGUUGGGAUUACAAGCAUGAGCCACCACACCUAGCCCCUCUCUUUUUUUAUGCCUUUUUUUUUGUCUGAAGCCUGGGUCAUUUGGCCUGUAGGAUUUCUCAUGUUCUGGAUUUGGCUGACUGUUCCCAUAGUGUAUUGUUCUUGUUCCUCUAACCUCCAUAUUUUUUAUAAACUAGUAGUUAGAUCUAGAAACUUGAUUAGGUUUAGGUUCAGUUAUUUUGGCAAGAUUAUUCAUAGGCAGCAGCAUGUACUUCUCAUUGCAUCACAUUUGGAGGAAUGUGAUGUCUGGGUGUCCCACAUUUAGUGAUGUUAAAAUUAUUCAGUGGGUUCUGGUGUUAUCACAUGAUCUAUCACAGAGUUCCCACUGAACCUGUCACCUAAUAGUUUUAGCAGCCAUUAAUAAUUGCUGCCUUAUUGGACCAGGUAACAUGACUAAGUGCAGUUUGCCUAACUCAUAACUUUUUAUUUCCAAAAACUUAUAGGUUUUGACCUUAUUAGCCAUUCCAGUUGCUUUCAAAUAGAAGAAUUAUAGUUUUGAAGCUAGUUGAUGAUUUUUUAAAAUAAAAAAAACUCUUAGGCACUUCUUGUGUACAAUAUAAACUAUAAUUUUAGUAGACAUUUUAGUUGUGAUAUUCGUUAUUCUUUUUCUUAUUUUUUUUUUUUUUUUUUUUUUUGAGAUGGAGUCUUGCCCUGUUACCCAGGCUGGAGCGCAGUGGCAUCAUCUCGGCUCACUGCAAUCUCCAUCUCCUGGGUUCAAGCGAUUCUCCUGCCUCAGCCUCCUGAGUAGCUAGGAUUACAGGCAUGUGCUACCAUGCCCAGCUAAUUUUUUGUAUUUUUAGUAAAGAUGGGUUUCACCAUGUUAGCUAGGCUGGUCUCGAUCUCCUGACCUCGUGAUCCACCCACCUCAGUCUCCCAAAGUGCUGGGAUUACAGGCAUGAGCCACUACGCCCAGCCUUGUUUGUUUUUUUGUUUGUUUGUUAAUGAAAGUCUCGCUCUGUCAGCCAGGCUGGAGUGAGCAGCCUGAUCUCAGCUGACUACAACCUCCACCUACCAGGCUCAAGCAGUUUUCCUGCCUCAGCCUUCCAAGUAGCUGGGACUACAGGUGUGUGCCACCACAUACAGCUAAUUUUUGUAUUUGUAGUAGAGAUGGGGUUUCACCAUGUUGGCCAGGCUGGUCUCAAACUCCUGGUCUCAAGGGAUCCUCCUACCUCAGCUUCCCAAAGUGCUAGGAUUAUAGGUGUGAGCCCUGCGCCUGGCCCCUCAUUCUUUUAUCUCUCUCUCACCUCACAUCAUCUACAGAAACUAACUCAAAAUGGAUCAAAGACCUAAAUAUAAGAGCUAAAAUCAUAAACAUAGAAGGGAUAGGUAUAAAUGUUUAUGACUUCAGAUUAGGCAAUAGAUUUUUAGAUAUAACAUCAAGGGUACAACAACAAAAGAAAAAAUAGAUAAAUUGGACUUCAUCAAAAUUUAAAAUGUGUGCACUACAAAUGACUCCAUCAAGACAGUGAAAAGACAACUCACAGAAAGAUAGAAAAUAUCAGCAAAUCAUAUAUCCUAUAAGGGACGUGUAUGUAGAAUAUACAAAGAACUUUUACAACUCAGUGAACAAAACAACCAAAAAACAAAACAAAAUAGCCAGGCACAGUGGCUGGCAUCUAUAAUCCCAGCUACUCGGGAGGCUAAGUUGGGAGCAUCACUUGAGCCCAGGAGUUUGAGGCUGCAAUGAGCCAUUAUCACACCACUGCUGUACUCCAGUCUGGGUGACAGAGUGACAUCCCAACUCUAAAAAUAAAAAAAAAAAACAAAGAACCAAAAUUUUAAAAUGGGCCAAACCAUUUGAGCAGACAUUUGGCCAAAGAAGAUAUAAAAAUGGCCGAUAAGUACACGAAUCAUUAGCCAUCAGGUAAAUGCAAAUCAAAAUAGCAAGAUUACAUUUCAUACCCACUAGGUUGGCUAUCAUCAAAAGGACAGUAAAUGUUUUUUGUGUUUUUUUUUUUUUUUUUUUUUUUUUUGAGACGGAGUCUCACUCUGUCGCCCAGGCUGGAGUGCAGUGGCGCGAUGUCGGCUCACUGCAAGCUCCGCCUCCCGGAUUCACGCCAUCCUCCUGCCUCAGCCUCCCGAGUAGCUGGGACUACAGGCGCCCGCCACCACGCCUGGCUAAUUUCUUUUUUUGUAUUUUUGGUAGAGACGGAGUUUCACCAUGUUAGCCAGUAUGGUCUCGAUCUCCUGGCCUCGUGAUCCGCCCGCCUCGGCCUCCCAAAGUGCUGGGAUUACAGGCGUGAGCCACCGCGCCCAGCCAAAGGACAGUAAAUGUUAAUGAGGGUGUGGAGAAACUGGAACCCUCAUGCAUUGCUGGUGGAAAUGCAAAAUGGUGCAGCCACUUUGGAAAGCAGUCUGGCAGUUCCCCGAAAGGUUUAACAUAGAUUUACCAUAUGACUCAAUAAUUUUACUCCUAGGUAUAUACCCAAGGGAAAUGAAAACAUGUGUCCAUACGAAAACUUGCACACAAAGAUUCAUAGCAACAUUAAUCAUAAUACCCAAAAAGUGGAAACAACCCAAAUGUCCAUUACCUGGUGCGGGGAUAAAAUGUGGUGCUCAUAUAUCCAUAUAAUAGACUAUCUUUGGCCAUAAAAGGGAAUGAAAUACUGAUACAUGCCACAGCAUGGAUGAACCUCCAAAACAACAUGUGCUGAGGGAAAGAAGCUGGUUGCAAGAGGCCACAUAUUGUAUGAUUCAAUUUUAUAUUAAGUUUCCAGAAUAGGCAAAUCUAUAAAGACAGAAAAUAGACUAGUGGUUGCUUGAACUGGGUGGGAGGUGGGGGAGCAGGUGGCAGAGAAAUGGGGAGUGACUGCUAACAGGUAUGAAAUUUCAUUUUGUGAUAAUGAAAAUGUUCUAAAAUUGAUUGUGGUGAUGGUUGCACAAAUUUACCAUUGAAUUAUACACUUCAAAUGAGUGAAUUAUAUGAUAUGUUGAUUGUAUCUCAAUAAAGCUAUUAAUGUUAUUUCAGGAAAAGAAAUUUGGGGAUGAAAGUUAAAGCACUUCAUUCAGGGAUACGCUGCUCCGCUGUUAGGACUAGAACUUGAUUGAUUGAUUUUGUCAGUACUUUUUCCAAUCCAAAAGUUAUCUUUCAUAUCAAAUACUCUGAUUUUGUGACUGAACUAACUCCAAAUCCUAAAUGCUGAGUCUUGCUUCACCAAAUAAAGCUGAGAUUUUUAGAGAGAAAAAAAUAUUCUCUUUAAGCCAGUUGAAGUGAUGAUCCAACUCUGACAAGGACAGUCACAGAGGCCUUUUUAGUGGUGGCACAAUAUAGAGGCUAAGAGCUAAGAAUCCAGCAUCAUAUCGAAGACUUGAAUUUAAAACCUGGACCCCCUACUUCUUAGCUCUCUCCUUGAGGAAAUUGCUUAAUCUCUUACAUGGAUUGUCUCAUUUGAUACUCCCAUUGGUCCUGAAAUGCAGAUAUUACUAUUCCCCUCCGGUUUUUUUGUUUGUUCGUUUGUGUUUUUUUAUUUAUUUUUUUAAACAAAUGAGAAAACUAAAGCUCAGCAAAUUUAAGUAACUGGUCAAGUUCACACUUCCAUAAACAGUAAAACUGCUGUUCAUAGCUUUGUCUACUUACCUCCAAAACUAUGCAUCCUAAUCAAUUAUAAACCAUAAUCAUCCCAAUUUAUCAAUUUAGAAUGGAAGACAUUCCAUUUAUUUAUUUAUUUAUUUAUUUAUUUCAGACAGUCUGGCUCUGUCACCCAGGCUGGAGUGCAGUGGUGAAAUCUCGGCUCACUGCAACCUCUGCCUCCUAGGCUGAGACAAUCCUUCCACUUCAGCCAGUAGCUGGGACUACAGGCAGGCACCACCAAGGCCCAGCUAAUUUUUGUUUGUUUUUUUGUUUUGUUUUUUGUUGUUGUAGAUACAGGGUUUCACCAUGUUGGCCAGGCUGGUCUUGAACUCCUAAGUUCAAGCAAUCCUCCGUCCUCGGCCUCCCAAAGUGCUGGGAUUACAGAUGUGAGCCACCACGCCUGGCCCAUACCUUUUAUUAACCAACAGAUGUGAGCCAUCUCUUCAGAAGCCUCAUUUUCUGGUUUUAAAACGCUUGAAAGUUGAAUUCGUAAUCAGAAAAUUGAUAGGCAAGUGUGGUAUCUGAACAGAGAGGCUGGAACUAUUCCAUGCAGAUAGAGAGAGAAUCUCCCUCCCUUCCUAACACCAGUAGGGUUCUGACCCAACCAGAUGUUAUUAGUCAACAAAUAUGUACAGAACACCCACGGUAUGCCAGGCUCCAUUCUAGGACCUGGGCAUGGUUUUUGCCUUUAUGAAGCUUACAUUCUUGUUGGGAGAGACAUAUUGAACAAGCAAACUUAAAAAAUGUGAUAAAUUCAGAUAAUGAGAAGUGCUAUAAGGAAAAAUAAUUAAAAGUGACUUAGAAUGGGGAACACCGCUCUAAGGAGGUAGCACACAACCUGAACCUUUUAUCAUUGUUAGAUUCAGCUGUGAGCGACAGAAGACCCUGGUAACAGUGUCUUAGAACAUCGAUGUUUAUUUCUCUGCCACCUAAAUGAAGUUGGUAGGUAAACAUUCUAGGGCCGAAUGACACUCCACAGCAACAGGGAUCUGGCCUCCUGUCCUUAUGGCUUUGCCAUCUUCAUCAUACAGCUUCUGCUUCAUAGUAUAUAAUGGUUGUUUUUGCUACCCUUAUCAUUUUUACAUCUCAGCCAGUAAGAAAGAGGAAGGGGUGGGGUUUGGGACAUGGAGAUGAUGAAGUGCAAGCUUCUUCCUUUUAGGGACUGUUUCUGGAAGCUCCAUAUUUUAUAGUGUUUCUAGUUCCAUCUCACUAGCUAGAACUUCGCUAGUCCUAUUUACCUGUCAGAGAGGCUGGAAAAUGUAGUCUUUGUUCUGGAUAGCCAUGUGCCGAGAUAAUAAUUAGGAGUUUUAUUUCCAAGAAAGAGGGAAGGAUGGAUAUUGGGGGACAACUAGUGAUCUUUGCUUUGAAGAAAAGAAAGACAGAGUGAAAUAAAAAAAAUUAGUUUAGUGUGUUCAUUCAAGGAAUAGAAGAAGGCCCGUGGGACUAGAGUAUACUAAGUAAAGGGAAGAAUGGUAGAUGGAGGGCUUUGUAAACCAUAAUAACAUUAGCUUCUAGUCCAGUAAGAGUGGCAUACCUUUGGCAGGUUUUGUUUUAAAACUAGACUUUGAGAAAUAAUGACAUCUGGUCAAGCAUGACACAUUUUCUCCACUCUUUCCUUGAUUCCAACAAAGUGACAGCUAAGGUUUUGGGUUUUUUAAAAAAACAAAACCCACAAGAAGACAAAAAGACAUGGAAAAGAGAGAAAAGAAGAUGAUCAGCAAAUAUAAACUGGAGAGCAGAUGAAGGAAUGACAAUUAACUAAGAAAACUUUAGAAGGCUGAAAACUUAAUGCCUGAGGUGAAAAUGGAGGGAAAAAAAGCAAGCCUGUUCAUGAAGCAGAAUCCCGAAAAGGACCUGGUUGAAAAUAUGUCCAAAUCAGUUGGACUCUUAAAUAACCUCCUUCAGCCCUUGCAGCCAAUGACCCACUCCUCUGUAAUGGAGUAGAGCAGUUUUACUCUCAGGUUAGUUGAAGAAAAAGGCAGUCUAUUCUCAGGGACAAGCAUAUCUGAGGAUGAGAGCCUUAUUAGAAACAGGGAGGUAAUGAGAAGUCUAUAUCCAAAGGGUGAGAAACCUAAUCUCCUUCCCAAUAAGCCGGUAGUCAAUUUUCCACUUCCACCCUACCUCAUUCAUCUUUCUCUUUUGGUGAAGAAAAAAAAAAAAAAACACCUAUUCAGAGACAAUAUCAGCAGAUACUGACAGCUGGUGGUCCCCUAACAAAAGUAGUCAAACCCCUGCUGACAGUGAAACCCACUAGUCAGCGAGACUCAGCAUUUCAACACACAGCUUCCAAUCAGUGGGGCUUUUUUGGUUUUGUUUUAUUUUUAGUGUUUUAUUUAUUUAUUUAUUUUCUUUCUUUCUUUUCUUUCUUUCCUUCUUUAGAGACAGAGUCUUGAUCUGUCAGCCAGGCUGGAGUGCAGUGGCUCAAUCAGAGCUCACUGCAGUUUUGAACUCCUGGCCUCAAGUAAUCCUGCCACCUCGGUCUCCCAAUGUGCUGGGAUUAUGGGCAUGACAGCCUAAACUCAUCAGACCAAUAUCAGAAUAUUAUUUCUAGAAAGAAAGAGCAGAAAGCAGAGAUAAAAAAUUAUUUGAGAAAAAUAAAAUAUUAUUUUCAAGAGUCUAGAAACAAUUUUCUAGAUAUGCUGCCUUCCUCAGAUAGUUACUGAAGGGAAGUGGGGGAGUUACUCAAGAAAUAUGAAAUCAGAGGAACUAGGAGGCCAGGGAUCCAAUACAGGAGGGAGACAAGAAUUCCAUGAAUGCUGAUGGAACAAAAAUCCCAAGGAAGGAAAUCAACCUCUCUCUCUCUUUCUCUCUCUCUCUCUCUCACUCACACACACAAUAGAUUUUCUGAUGUAUUUUAAAACUUCGAGAAAUAUAUACUUGUAGUUUGGUGAUGAAUUAGUGAUAGCAAGAACAAAGAAAAACUAAGGGCCGGGCACAGUGGCUCACACCUAUAAUCCCAGCACUUUGGGAGGCCGAGGCAGGCAGAUCACCUGACAUCAGGAGUUCAAGACCAGCCUGGCAAACAUGGUGAAACCUUGUUUCUACUAAAAAAGAAAAUCCAAAAAAUUAGCUGAGCAUGGUGAUGCACGCCUAUAAUCCCAGCUACUCGGGAGGCUGAGGCAGGAGAAUCUCUUGAACCUGGGAGGCGGAGGUUGCAGUGAGUUGAGAUCGCGCCACUGCACUCAAGCUCAGGCAACAAGAGUGAAACUCCAUCUCAAAAAAAAGAAAAGAAAAAAAGAAAAACUAAGGGAAAAAUGAUUAAGUCUAUGAAAUGAUUAAGUCUAGGAAAAAAUUUUAAAACUAUAGGCCGUGCGUGUGGCUCACACCUGUAAUCCCAGCACACUGGGAGGCCGAGGCAGGCAGAUCACUGGAGGUCAGGAGUUCGAGACGAGCCAAAAUGGUGAAACCCUGUCUCUACUAAAAAUACAAAAAUUAGCUGGGCAUGGUGGCACGCGCCUGUAAUCCCAGCUACUCAGGAGGCUGAGGCAGGAGAAGCGCUUGAACCCGGGAAGCAGAGUUUGCCGUGAGCCGAGAUCCCACCACUGCAUUCCAGUCUGGGUGACAGAGUGAGAUUCCGUGUCAAAAAUAAAUAAAUAAAUAAAUACAAUUGUAAUACCAAGGAAAUGUCAUCUUAUGGACUAUAUGACUCAGUAUGAAUGUAAAUAUUGAAUACUGGUCUAAUCCGAUAUGAUAUAUUGGUGUUCGGAUGAUAAGGGGAAAGGAAAUGUGUAUUGGGGAGGUAUCCUAAGAUAAUUAAAUGAUCUCCCACAGUAGAUGGUUAAUAGAAGAUGUCUACACUGAAAAAGAUCAAGAAAUAGUCAAAUAAGGAUGUUUAGAAAUAGAGAGUUAAAUAUCAGAAGAAACAACUAAAGGAGUUAAAGUUUUUGCCUUAUGGGAGCAGAAAUUAGGAGUAGAGAGAAUAAGAAAUUAGGAGUAGAGGGAAUAAGGCAGGGGUCUGAUGCUCAUCUUUCUAAAUCUUGUUAAACCAUUUAACUUUCUAACACGUGCGUGUGUGUAUGUGUGUGUGUGUGUGCGCGCGCACGCGUAUGCAUACGUAUUUGUAGGUAGGUAGGUUGUGGAUGGAAUACUCAGUACUAAAUAAACAGUGGUAGAUUUUUUGCUUUUUGUUUCUCCUUUUGUCAAGGCUCUAUUACCUUACACACUAUAAAUUGCAAGAUGAUAGUGUAUCCUGUUUAAUUAAAUGUUAAGCCUAGAGCUCCCUUGGGCUUCUGGAUAAAAUACGGAAGACACUCUACUAUAAAUUCAUCAACAGCACUUUUACAAACCUUUGCAACAUUUUAAUACAUGUUGCUACCAAAACUCAGGCACUUACUGUUGAUUCUUUUAGGCUUUUGCUUCCAAGUUUAAUUUUUUUGUCCUUGAGGCCUGCUGACCCAAUGUGCUGUCCAACAAGUGAACAAUGAAGCUCCUGUUGUUUAAGUUUUAUUGUAAGUUGUAUAAUAGGUCUACACUGUAAUUAAAUGUCUAUCACUUCUAUAAAUAUAAACAUAUAUGCAAUAAAACACAUAGAUGAUAAAACUUAUGCCUAUAGGAUCUAUUACACAAUGAUGUAUCAUUUUUAUUGCUCUCAGAGUUUGACUUCUAGUAGCUGACUUUUCAAUAAAUGUCCAGUGCCCCUAGUUUUAAAAAUAAAUAAAUUUGAGUUUCUCUUUUCAUGUGAUUUUAAGGAAAAAAAAAAGCUUGACAACAGUAUUCAACAUCAAAAUGUGAACUUCUGACCUCCACAUGAUCUGUCAUCACCAAAAGAAAAGUAAAUGAUCACAGCAAUUGCAAAUGUUUAAACUUAAGAAUCAUUUGGACUAUCUAGAUAAGAUGUGUAAAAUGUGAUUAAAUUCAGAAUUUAUAAAUCUUUAACCUAAAUAAGAUAUGCUAUAGUCUCAAUUUUGUGAUUAAAAUCUGAUAUAAUAGUUUGCAAUUGAAAAGAGAACAGUCUGGGUGUGGUGGCUCAUACCUGUAAUCCCAGCUCUUAGGGAGGCAGAGGUGGGAGGAUAGCUUAAGCCCAGGAGUUCAAGACCUGCCUGGGCAAUAUAUCAAGACACCGUUUAAGAAAAAAAAAAAAUGAAAAGAGAACAGACCAGGCAUGGUGGCUCACACCUGUAAUCCCAGUACUUUAGGAGGUCGAGGUGGGCGGAUCACCUGAGCCCAGGAGCUUGAGACCACCCUGGCCAACACGGCAAAACGCUGUCUCUAUUAAAAAUACAAAGAUUAGCUAGGCAUAAUGGUGCACACCUGUGGUCUCAGCUACUUAGGUGGCUGAGGCGCGAGAAUCGCUUGAGCCUGGGAGGUGGAGGUUGCAGUGAGCCCAGCUCACACCACUGCACUCCAUCCUGGGCGACACAGUGAGACUCUAGCUCAAAAAAAAAAAAAAGAAAGAAAGAGAACAAACAGAAGACUUGUGUGUUCAGUGAUAAAUUUACAUCUCUAAUGAAAAAUUAAAAAGGAAUAUAUUCCAUGGCCAAGUCCCCCAAAGGCAGUGUACCUGGAACAGAAUGAGCUUUUUUUCACAAGCUGUUUCAGGCCUUGAAGCUUAACAAACAAGUCUAAAAUAAAAAAUAUGUGUAUUUAUGGAAAUAAAAAUAGAGCCUAGUAAAACUAAGCUCAGAUCCUGCCUCUUUCAUUGGCUUGGAA
rnacentral:lncRNA from 1 species